AGAGUUUGAUCCUGGCUCAGGACGAACGCUGGCGGCGUGCUUAACACAUGCAAGUCGAGCGGGGUCCAACCCUCCGCAAGGAGGGGGAAGACCUAGCGGCGAACGGGUGAGUAACACGUGAGCAACCUGCCCCGAAGUUCGGGAUAACACCGGGAAACCGGUGCUAAUACCGGAUAUCCCCACCGGGCCACAUGACUUGGUGAGGAAAGAAUUUCGCUUUGGGAGGGGCUCGCGGGCUAUCAGCUUGUUGGUGGGGUAACGGCCUACCAAGGCAACGACGGCUAGCUGGUCUGAGAGGACGACCAGCCACACUGGGACUGAGACACGGCCCAGACUCCUACGGGAGGCAGCAGUGGGGAAUCUUGCGCAAUGGGCGAAAGCCUGAUGCAGCGACGCCGCGUGAGGGAUGACGGCCUUCGGGUUGUAAACCUCUUUCAGCAGGGAAGAAGCGCAAGUGACGGUACCUGCAGAAGAAGCGCCGGCUAACUACGUGCCAGCAGCCGCGGUAAUACGUAGGGGGCAAGCGUUGUCCGGAUUUAUUGGGCGUAAAGAGCUCGUAGGCGGCCGUCCACGUCGGAUGUGAAAGCUCGGGGCUCAACCCUGAGAGGCCAUUCGAUACGGGACGGCUAGAGGCAGGUAGGGGAAAGUGGAACUCCUGGUGUAGCGGUGAAAUGCGCAGAUAUCAGGAAGAACACCGGUGGCGAAGGCGGCUUUCUGGGCCUUGCCUGACGCUGAGGAGCGAAAGCUGGGGGAGCGAACAGGAUUAGAUACCCCGGUAGUCC
rnacentral:rRNA from 1 species